rnacentral:rRNA from 1 species
UACGGAGGGGGCUAGCGUUGUUCGGAAUUACUGGGCGUAAAGCGCGCGUAGGCGGACCUGCAAGUCGGGGGUGAAAGCCCGAGGCUCAACCUCGGAACUGCCUUCGAUACUGCGGGUCUCGAGUCCGGGAGAGGUGAGUGGAAUUCCUAGUGUAGCGGUGAAAUGCGUAGAUAUUGGGAGGAACACCAGUGGCGAAGGCGGCUUUCUGGGACGGUACUGACGGCUGAGAACGCGGAAAGCGUGGGGAGCGAACAGG